CUGGGUGUGGCGCAGUUUGGUAGCGCGCUUGAAUGGGGUUCAAGAGGUCGGGGGUUCGAAUCCCUCCACUCAGACCA
rnacentral:tRNA from 1 species